CCUACGGGUGGCAGCAGUGAGGAAUAUUGGUCAAUGGGCGCGAGCCUGAACCAGCCAAGUAGCGUGAAGGAUGACUGCCCUACGGGUUGUAAACCUCUUUUAUAAAGGAACAAAGUGAGGCACGCGUGCCUCUUUGUAUGUACUUUAUGAAUAAGGAUCGGCUAACUCCGUGCCAGCAGCCGCGGUAAUACGGAGGAUCCGAGCGUUAUCCGGAUUUAUUGGGUUUAAAGGGUGCGUAGGUGGGUUGUUAAGUCAGUUGUGAAAGUUGGCGGCUCAACCGUAAGAUUGCAAUUGAUACUGGCAGUCUUGAGUACAGUUGAGGUAGGCGGAAUUCGUGGUGUAGCGGUGAAAUGCGUAGAUAUCGCGAAGAACUCCGAUUGCGAAGGCAGCUUACUAGACUGCCACUGACGUUGAGGCACGAAGGUGUGGGUAGCGAACAGGAUUAGAUACCCGGGUAGUC
rnacentral:rRNA from 1 species